GGAAGACGGAUGAAAGGAUUUCCAGGUCUGUCGGGCGAAGCAGCAACCAGUCCUGGACAUUCUUUCCUUGUGGAUUCUAGCCUCUACCCAAGCAUAAAAGAUACGGAUUUUGCAACGAAGCCAAGUUUAUGAGACCCGUCCUUCAGGAAACAAAACACGGGGUGACGUGCAACGAUGGAAUAAAGGGAAAACAGCAAAUCCCCUAGAUGGAAAAAGGCAACAAACAAAACAUAAUUGACGACCCAGCCACAUCACUGUAUCAUACCUGUGGUGUGUGGAUGAUCUAUGCGCGCGCAAGCUCUCAUGGAUACGCGCUUCCUAACACCAUGCAACCACUCUAACCGCCUGUCAAGAACGAAUAAAACGAAUCCUGUUAUAACGCUGAACUCUAACGGCCACGGGUGGAAAACACAAACAAAAUCCUAAAAAUCGGUCAGUCGCUCGUGGAAUUGGAUAUUGGGACCCUCAGUCGGUAUUACGACAAUCUCCCCAAGCAUCGCUAAGCUCGUUUACACGUCGGUCACGAGUCCGAGACCCACUCCAGCGCUCACACCUCCUCUCUAGUUUACCAAGGAAGCAGCGCGCCCGGGACAAAGUGAGCUGCCUGCCUUUGGCAAUGUUUGGCAGGGAGACGCGUGCGGGUGAAGGUUCUGAUCAAAACCGCCCCCUCGAAAUCUUCCCUUUCCCAACGUUCGGUAUUCGCUCGUCCCGAGACACUUAAUUUGGAGGCUGCACUGAAGGCGGUCGCUGCGUGUCCUCCUGCUGCUGCUGCUCCUGAGCCGCAAGCACGUCCUCGGCCCGGAGCCUUGUCCGCUGCGCACCACUUUGCAGCUCCUGUCCGGUUUGCUGUGCCCGGGCGUCUGCAUCAACCUGAAAGUGGUAAACACGGUUGCGCACAGAAAAUUAGAUGCUAUCUGUGGAGGCAUAGUGCGGGGAUGAUUGUGAUAGGAUUGCGCCUUGCAAAACGGGUGGCCGACGCGGAAAACAUUGAAGCGCUCACCAAGUCGGCAGGCUCUUCCAAGCCUUUCAUAAUCGCUAGAGCUCCUACGAAGGUCGCGCCGACUGUGGCACCGACUGCAAAAAGGAAAUUAACAGCCAGUCAGCAAGGCUACUACCACAACGUCUCCCUGUCAGAGCCUUAGGUUGCGAUAUACUGGACUAUCAUACCUAACGCAGCAGCGCUACCCACGCUGACCCAAAUAGUUGAGGCAUCCUCAACGCCGGUCGGCAUUUUCUUGAAAUAUCCAAGAGCUUCAGGCUUUCACAUUACCUAUAUCCGCAUAAAUCAUACUGUGCACAAAGUCUGGAAAGAUGGAUUUGCUGCUUUUGAUGUGCGUCGCUUUUUCGCAUAUGACCCACGGACGCUCAGCAUGGGCUAACGGAGAAAACUGUGUCACACCCAUACGCACGAUCUCCAUCCUUCAAAAUCUUCCUGCAUUCCUACAUCAUCCAAUUAAAAGAUCGAUACUCAC
rnacentral:lncRNA from 1 species